UGGGCAGUAGAGGUGCAUGUG
rnacentral:miRNA from 1 species